UCUACGGGCGGCAGCAGUGGGGAAUCUUGCGCAAUGGGCGAAAGCCUGACGCAGCGACGCCGCGUGCGGGAAGAAGGCCUUCGGGUUGUAAACCGCUUUCAGGAGGGACGAGGCCACUCGGGUUAAUAGCCCAGAGGGUGACGGUACCUCCAGAAGAAGCCCCGGCUAACUACGUGCCAGCAGCCGCGGUAAUA
rnacentral:rRNA from 1 species